UCCGUAGGCGGGCAAUUAAGUCAGAGGUGAAAUCCCACAGCUCAACUGUGGAACUGCCUUUGAUACUGGUUGUCUUGAGUUACAGUGAAGUAGAUAGAAUAUGUAGUGUAGCGGUGAAAUGCAUAGAUAUUACAUAGAAUACCGAUUGCGAAGGCAGUCUACUAACUGUCGACUGACGCUAAGUGACGAAAGCGUGGGGAGCGAACAGGAUUAGAUACCCUGGUAGUCC
rnacentral:rRNA from 1 species